rnacentral:rRNA from 1 species
UGAGCAAUCUGCCCUUCUCAUCGGAAUAAGCGUUGGAAACGACGUCUAAUGCCGAAUACGACCUCCUUUCGCAUGAUCGGAGGUGGAAAGCUCCGGCGGAGAAGGAUGAGCUCGCGGCCUAUCAGCUAGUUGGUGUGGGUAACGCCCACCAAGGCGACGACGGGUAGCCGGCCUGAGAGGGUGACCGGCCACACGUGGGACUGAGACACGGCCCAGACCUCCGUACGGGAGCAGCG